UAGAUUUCGAAGUGCGCCACUGUUUACGGAGAUUUACUGUAGCCAUAUAGGCUAUUUCCACCAACCGAGAUGUUUUGUACAUUGCAUUCUGCUGAUGGGACAUUCUAUAUUUAGAACUGACAUUAUUAUAGUACAUAAUAAUAUAGUAAGUAUUUCUUUAGUUGAUCUUGUAAGUAGAGUAAUGCCACGUACGGAAAGUUUUAAUGCCACUGAUUAACCAACCUUUCCCUUGCCAGAGAAAGCCUCUGUGAAAUUGGAUGACUGCGCCGAAGAUCCGCAGCACGGAAAUGUUGUUUGUCGUGAAAUGCGACCUAUUUAUCAGUACAUGCGGGCGAACUGUUUGCUGUCCGCUCUCCGAUUCAUUCUGGAAUGCGGUCCCUUCGGGUGGGUGGCCUAUAGCCUGGCUGUCUGUCACCGCGGAAAGAGUAUGAUUUUAAAGAUUUCUGGCUCUGAUGGCGUCCUGGCGGAAAGAGUGAACCAGUAUCCGAGGUCGUGGCGUGUCUGGAUGUCGCUUACUUGUCGUUGCUGGCCACGACGCUGCUGCACUGCCUGAUGCUCGUAUUCUGCCUGGUGCCUGAUGCUCGUAUUCUGCCUGGUCAUUAUGUGCAGCGGUUCGGCCUGGAAAGAUUUGGCCGAUGGAUUGUCGUGUCCAGCAGCAAUAACACCGGAAGCGAAGAUUACUCGGUUUAUGACGUUAUGGAUGAGUUUGACGGUUGCCAUGGUCUACACUGGAUGCUGUGUCUGGCACAAAUGUAACCGCUUGAAUAAGAAACUGAAAGCGGAACUAUUGCAAACGUGAAGCGGAUACAGAAUUGUACACAUGAGCCGGGAAUUUCGCACGUUCAAGCGGCCAGCCGCAGCAGAAGUGUACGUAAUUCGAUUGCUUUAUUGGUCAUAAACAUCAGGUUUCAAAAGGGCAUCUCAGAGUGUCCCAUGACUAAUAAAAAACAGCGGUGCUGUUUACAAGUUUGUGGUUUGAGGCUUGACAGCUGUGUUUGCAAGUGCCCAACGGCACAAAUGUCGAUGAUUGUAUGGUUGACGGUUUGUCUUUGUAAUCAGUGCAUUUUGCUUUCCGCGUCAGCAAUGAAUAGGCACAUCGUGCCAAAUUAACAGGUUCAGAGACUUUCCCGUACGAGCCAAAUGUAGUAAACGAUUUACAAACAGCAUGGUCAUUCGGAGAAAUAAGGCUGCCGUAAAAGACAAAACUUUCUAAUAGGAAGGACACAUAAAAGCACACACAGGACACACAGGGCAUCUUAUAAAACUAGUAUACGCCGAGGAGAGUACAAUAAAUUUAUGGAAACCUCCUGCACCCUUGACUGGAAUGAGCUACAAAACAAAUGAAUAUCGGAACGCGGCUUUUUAUUGCGAUCUGCGCACAACCAUCUCUGCGAGUUAAAUAUCUUAACACACAUGGUACUGCCGUAGCUAAACAAGAAUUAGAAACGUCCAGCAGUCAUUCCUGAUUUUCUCCAAGCCGGCUCAAAAACACCUCAGCUGCUAUCGACGCCGUUGGUCAGCCCGUUAUGGCUCAUCCGAUUAAUAACCUGAAUCUGUGACCCAUCGAGUUGCAGCACGCUCCACGUCGUCCCGCGACCGCGCGGCACAAAGUACUGUCCCAUCCGCUCACUGCCCCGGUACACUUGCAGCUCCGCCCCGGACUCGCCCAGCGCCGUGGAGUUCCACGUCUCCCGGUUGGUGUAAUCGUGCACACUGGCAUAAUACAGUCCGGGCAGCUGUUUCCGCACGGUCACCGUCUCCGGUCCGUAACUACUCAUAUCGUCCACAUCCAGGUCCGUGUGGUUGUCCGGACUAAGCUUGGAGCGCCAGUAUACGUGCAUCCGGUUGCGGUUAUUUUCAAUCGGACCCCACACGUGCAGAUCCAGAUCCAGCGGCCACUCGCCCCAAUGUAAGACGAACCGCCACUGCUGUUGAGAGACGAUUGGCGUAAUCACGUGAUUCUGUCCCGGUUUAUCCAUCCCACCGAGGACCACCACGGUAAAGUCGGUUGUGGAUGACCCGGGUUUAGAGAGGGUCGCGGUGUAGUGGCCCGUCGGAAGGGUGACCGUCCAGCGACCGGACUCCAGGGUGGUGGAUGUGCCGACAAUGUCCCCGACAAAGACGUUGAUUCCGCGACGGAAGUGGAUCAGGACGCCGGGUUCCGGCUGGCUGGUUACCGCGUUGGUGAGGUUCCCGCUGGCGGUCCCGGUGCCGGUGAAGCGCUGGUUGAUGUACAACAACGGCUCGACCACCAUCGUCUGGUGGGCGAUUACCGGCAUCCCGUGCAGCACGGCUGGAUAGUAACCCGGCAGCUCAAAGUGCAGAUCGUAACUCGGCACACUCGGUAAAGACAUUGAGAAAUCCCCGUUGGCGUUCGUGUGUGCGGUUGAAUGAAAGUUUUGCCGGGGUACCCGCGCGGUGACAGUGACGCCGGAAAGGUAAUCCAUGCUGGCGGCGUCCCGAACCACGCCCUGGAUCGUUCCGUGCGGAAGGAAGACGACCGGGUUGAUUGUGGUUGUUGUAGGUGUAGUUGUUGCUGUAGUUGUAGUUGCCGCCUCCGUCGUUGAAGUGGUAAUCGUUGUCGGAAGUCCCAUCGUUGUAGCGUACUCCAAGAUCGCCUGAUCGAGGAACCUUCGGAAAGUCCGCAGGCUGGUCGUGUUAAGAAACUUGUCGCAAUCAGGAGGAACCGCUGAUUGCCGGAUGGUCAACGGUGUGAAGAACGACGGGAUGUUCUUAACGGUGAGUUUUAGCGGUCGAAUCGAUGUAUCGAUCACAGUCGUAUCCGCUUCCAUGUCGGCGUAGUUGAUAGUUCGGUUUAAGCCAAACUUCCCAUAUUUUACGCGGAUGACAAUAUGGGUCCCGAACUGCUUGAUGAAGCUCGUAUAUUCUGCUGGGUCGUAGUGAUCCGGCAAGGAACAAGCCGCGGACAGAAAGUGUGGGUCGAGAAAUAGGUCCUCCUUGUUGUAGACAUACCUCAUCUCGUGUUGAUACGAUUGGGUGAAUGUGUCGUUAAUUGUGGCGCCUUGCCGGAUGCUGCGCAUUAUGGAGCUGCGCAUCCCAACGCUGGCAUGGAUUGCUGGCUGCUAAUGGAUAUUUAAAUGCCAUGUCCGUUUACUGGCAGCAGCGUACAGUGUACCGUGUCGUUGCAAUUACCGGUGACCGGGCACUCCUUAAACCGGAGAAUCGGCUCGCCGCUGUGAAUCCCGGCGUGGAAUUCCGUACCCAGUGGAUCGGCGCGCAGCAGGUCGUACCCGUGACCAAGGACAUUCGUGAACGCGUCGCUGACACACGAGUGCCGUUGACCCGCCAAGAAAUGCCGGGUUUGGAUGGCGCGGAAUUGGCUUCGUAUUUCCGUUGGCCAGGGAAUCGCCUGCGGAGUGACGAUUGGCUGUUCGGUUUGGGUUUCGUUGCUGUAGUCAUCCAUCGCUCGGUACAGGUUGUCACGAACGGUUCUCUGCCAGACCGUUUUGUUGGCUUUGGACAUUCCAUCGAAUAGUUCUCUGUAUAAAAAAGAGGAUUAAAUGUGCGGCUGGAAAAUUUAUUAAUUAAACCAGUAAACUUUACAUGCGUGCAACAGGAACACAUUUAACAGCGUAAAGCGCAUAAUUUUUCGUCUUAUGAAGUUACUGCACUUAGGUCACUAAUUACAUUACCUGCAGGUCUCCACAAGAGACUGAUUCAGAUCAACCAUGCUAAGCAGCUGUGAAAUUUCAAUCAGACGAACCGGCACAGUAACGUUAUGCGCAGCAGUCUCGUUGACAACACUGUCCGAACGCGGGUUCUGCUUUAAAUCAUCGGCAAUUCUUAGGAGCAUUCUGUCAGUAACAUGCCGCAGUUGUACACCGUCCGCCCAGUGGGCACUGUCGCCAUUAAAGGUCGUGCCGGUGCGGACCAAGUACUGGUAUAUCGCUUUCGGGUCCACGAACACACGGGUUCGCGACAAUUUAACCAAUUGCAGUUUCUCGAUCAUAUGCGUGCCGAAACGUUUGAGAAAGGCCACGUAUUCAUCGGCGUCGUACUGUUCGGGAAGGCGACAAACGCUGUCAGCGAAGUCGUCUUGAAGGGAAACAUGUUGGAACGCAUUAUGAUCCAGCCGGUCUUCUUCCAAAAUCGUCAUGCUGAUGUAGUCAACGAAGAGCAAACCGUCGUUGAGAUGAGCGCGCGUUUCAUCCAGCUCUUCCGCCAAAAUUCCGAUGCUCUUUGUCACAGUUUUCUGCAAUAUAACUUAAUGUGUACCGUAAGAGCUUAUAGCGCUGUCGGGCAUAGCAGUGCUCCUACGUAUUCAUGGAUUUUGUACUGGAAUAUCUUUCCUUCUGAUCUUGAUUAUCAUAUUAGUUUUAUGUAUCUCCUCCCAUUUCUACCCUUUUCUGAAUUAUAAGCUAAUAUUUAGGGACACCCCAUGGUUUCCAAUAUUGUAGAUUUACUAUGAU